rnacentral:rRNA from 1 species
UACGUAGGUGGCAAGCGUUGUCCGGAUUUACGGGGCGUAAAGAGCGCGCAGGCGGUCGUUCAAGUCGCGUGUGAAAGCCCCCGGCUCAACUGGGGAGGGUCACGCGAUACUGAUCGACUCGAAGGCAGGAGAGGGUAGUGGAAUUCCCGGUGUAGUGGUGAAAUGCGUAGAUAUCGGGAGGAACACCAGUGGCGAAGGCGACUACCUGGCCUGUUCUUGACGCUGAGGCGCGAAAGCUAGGGGAGCAAACGGG